GUUGGGUGGUAAGAUGGCGGCUGUGAGUCUGCGGCUCGGCGAUUUGGUGUGGGGGAAACUCGGCCGGUAUCCUCCUUGGCCAGGAAAGAUUGUUAAUCCACCCAAAGACUUGAAGAAACCACGUGGAAAGAAAUGCUUCUUUGUGAAGUUUUUUGGAACAGAAGAUCAUGCCUGGAUCAAAGUGGAACAGCUAAAGCCAUACCAUGCACACAAGGAGGAAAUGAUAAAGAUUAACAAGGGGAAACGAUUCCAGCAGGCUGUGGAUGCUGUCGAAGAGUUCCUCCGGAGAGCCAAAGGGAAAGACCAGACGUCGUCCCACAAUUCUGCUGAUGACAAGAAUCGGCGUAAUUCCAGUGAGGAGAGAAGUAGGCCAAACUCAGGUGAUGAGAAGCGGAAGCUUAGCCUGUCUGAAGGGAAGGUGAAGAAGAACAUGGGAGAAGGAAAGAAGAGGGUGUCUUCAGGCUCAUCAGAGAGAGGCUCCAAGUCCCCUCUGAAAAGAGCCCAAGAGCAGAGUCCCCGGAAACGGGGUCGGCCCCCAAAGGAUGAGAAGGUGGAGGACGAGGAGGAGAGCAGAGAGCUAAAAGAUCUCACCAUCCCUGAGUCUAGUACCGUGAAGGGGGUGAUGGCUGGACCGAUGGCCGCGUUUAAAUGGCAGCCGACUGUGAGCGAGCCUGUGAAAGAUGCAGACCCUCAUUUCCAUCAUUUCCUGCUCAGCCAAACUGAGAAGCCAGCUGUCUGUUACCAGGCAAUCACAAAGAAGUUGAAAAUAUGUGAAGAGGAAACUGGGUCCACCUCCAUCCAGGCAGCAGACAGCACGGCCGUGAAUGGCAGCAUCACACCCACAGACAAAAAGAUAGGAUUUUUGGGCCUUGGCCUCAUGGGAAGUGGCAUCGUCUCCAACUUGCUAAAGAUGGGUCACACAGUGACUGUCUGGAACCGGACUGCAGAAAAAUGUGAUUUGUUCAUCCAGGAGGGGGCCCGCCUAGGAAGAACCCCCGCUGAAGUCGUUUCAACUUGUGACAUCACCUUUGCCUGCGUGUCCGAUCCAAAGGCAGCCAAGGACCUGGUGCUGGGCCCCAGUGGUGUGCUGCAGGGGAUCCGCCCCGGGAAGUGCUACGUGGACAUGUCAACAGUGGAUGCUGACACAGUCACCGAGCUGGCCCAGGUGAUUGUGUCCAGGGGGGGCCGCUUUCUGGAAGCCCCAGUCUCAGGGAAUCAGCAGCUGUCUAAUGAUGGGAUGUUGGUGAUCUUAGCAGCCGGAGACAGGGGCUUGUAUGAGGACUGCAGCAGCUGCUUCCAGGCAAUGGGAAAGACCUCCUUCUUUCUAGGUAACACGCCUGCCCACCUGUCGGGCCACUGCAGGCCCGGAGGCUGGGUGGGCCACAUCCCCUCUAGACUGCACUGAUGACUGCGUCAAUCCCGCACGGCCUCUCUGCCUGGGGCCCCCGUGGGAAGGUUUCCUUUGACUUGCACAGUCAGUGCCUGGAAGGAGGAAGAGCCCGAAGGGUCAGAGCCAGUUCUGUCAGGGGCAGGUGAGGUUGGAAAUGCUGCCAAGAUGAUGCUGAUUGUGAACAUGGUACAGGGAAGCUUCAUGGCCACCAUCGCUGAGGGGUUAACCCUGGCCCAAGUGACAGGCCAGUCCCAGCAGACACUCUUGGACAUCCUCAAUCAGGGACAGUUGGCCAGCAUCUUCCUGGACCAGAAGUGCCAAAAUAUCCUGCAAGGGAACUUUAAGCCCGAUUUCUACCUGAAGUACAUUCAGAAGGAUCUCCGCUUAGCCAUUGCCCUGGGGGAUGCCGUCAACCAUCCUACUCCUAUGGCAGCUGCGGCCAAUGAGGUGUACAAAAGAGCCAAGGCCCUGGACCAGUCUGACAACGACAUGUCUGCCGUGUACCGAGCCUACAUACACUAAGCCCUCGAUACCCCACCCCUGCUCCCCAGUCUUCCCUCUGACCCCUCCUCCUCACAUGGGGUUGGGGUCCUGGGACUUAACUCUGGACCAGUCCACCUGUCUCCAUCUCCUUUUAUACAGACUUUGAGACUUGCCAUCAGCACAGCACACAGCGUCACUCCUCCCCUGGAGGUCCUGGGGAGGGGAGGAGUGUCAGCAGGAUUGGCCUUUGGGAAAGCUCUUGAGCUGGGCACUGGCCCCGGACUAGGUGGCUGUGUGUUCAUACACACACACACACACACACACACACACAGAGAGAGAAAUACACAAUACAAACAACCCCUACAUACCACACACUGGCUCUCGCCCCAGGAUAGAACCUGCCCAGAAAGUGCUGCCUGGCUUUUUUUUUUUUUUUUUUUUUUUUUUUUCCUUCCUUCUGAGCUUGUCUUAUCUCAGACCCUUUCCAUUCAAGGAACUAGAAUCAGCAGUAAGAACUGGAAGCCUUUCCACUGCUUCCUUCCCUCAGAGCAAAGAGGCUGUGGUUACAUCCACAUCCCCCUACCGGAUCCUGCGUGUGAAAAAGAGGCUCUGGGGCAAGAUGAGCCACACCGACUCCAAACAGGGUCCUCAUGGGCCCUCCAACCUCAGGUGACCAGCUGAUGAGGAUUGUCAUGUUUAAGCUACCAAUGUGCAACCAACUCUCCAUAAAUGCCUUUGUGAACUGAAAAGAGAUUGGCGAAGUUGAGCAGACGCAGGGCUCUGGCUCCCUGGGGAGAGCAGCAGAUCGCCAGCACAUUAGGUGAGCCUCACGGAAGCCUGCUCUCCUCGCCGCUCUUGAGCUCCUGUCCCAGAAGUCACCGUCACUGCAGAGCCCUGGGCUGGGAUCAGACUUCCUUGCUUUGGUGUAGGGGGAGCUCACUCCUCACCAGGCUCUCUUAGUAUUUGGAUUUGCAUUCCAGCCCUUGGGAAGGGGAUCCUGAGGGCCACCAGGGAGGAGUGAAGAGGGAGGAGAGGGGUUCCUUCCUGUUUUCCGUUAUGCUGCAGACUCCCACCUGGUUCUCAAGAGUCACUCUGACUGGGUCCCCUCACAGCAGUCUCACCCACUCCGGCCUACUCCUGUACAUGUUCCCCACCUGCCCGCCUCUUCAUUCUCUCUUCUUCAUUUUCUUCCUGUGGAGACAGUGUUUUCUGUCCCUUCUUUGGCCCAGACCCAGCCUGACCAACGACAGCCAUUUCUUAGGCUCAGCUCUUGAAACAGGAACGAGUGUCUUCACUUCAGCCAGAAGCAUGGUCUUCGAUGCUUCCAGGGCCCCAGGGUCUCUCGGGAGGGAAGAGAACUGGGUCUGACCCAAUCUGAACUAUCUGACCCUCAGAGGUGGACCUGAGACAUCCUCAAGACCCUAACAUUUCUCCUUGGAUAGGGGACCAGAGGGGCUUGGAAUGUGGCAUAAAAACAAGGAGAAGUCACCUAAAGGAUGUCAAUGUUCUCUUCCUCUGCUUGGGUUGCAUUUUCCAAAGUCACACUUUGCAGGUCAGCAUUUCUAGUGAGUAUACAGAAUGAGACCACACGAGUGUGGACCCCUCCCCCUCAACCUUGGCCCUUUUCCGCUGAUCAGAAACCAGGCAAGGGAUCUCAGAAGACAUAGGGGGAGGGCAGGGAAGAUGCUGCGUGUUUUUGGCAUAACUCCACUGGGAUUUGGAAUUCUUUUCUGUCUGAACACAAAGCCUGUUCUAGUCCUAGCCGGACACUUCGGGGAGGGUGGGGGUGGGGGUGGGGAGAAUACUGUAAUGAAACUGGUUAGUCAAUGUUGUCUUAAUAUUGUUGACAAUUCUGUAAAGUUUCUUUUUAUGAGUAUUUCGUUUAAGCUAUUUCACCUUUGUUUUGAAGUCCUUCCCUUUUAGGAGAAAAUGUGACACUUGUGAAAAAGCUUGUAAGAAAGCCCCUCUUCCAUGACCCUUUUUUUUUCCUUUAAACCUCCUUUAAAUGACAAAUCUAGGUAAUUAAGGUUGUGAAUUUUUAUUUUUGCUUUGUUUUUAAUGAACAUUUGUCUUUCAGAAUAGGAUUGUGUGAUAAUGUUUAAAUGGCAAAAACAUGAUUUUGUGCAAUUAACAAAAAGCUACUGCAAGCAAAAUAAAACCUUUAUUGGUAACACAA